UACAGAGGGGGCAAGCGUUGUUCGGAAUUACUGGGCGUAAAGGGCGCGUAGGCGGCCUGCUAAGUCGAACGUGAAAUCCCCGGGCUCAACCCGGGAACUGCGUCCGAUACUGGAUGGCUUGAAUUCGGGAGAGGGAUGCAGAAUUCCAGGUGUAGCGGUGAAAUGCGUAGAUAUCUGGAGGAAUACCGGUGGCGAAGGCGGCAUCCUGGACCGACAUUGACGCUGAGGAGCGAAAGCUAGGGGAGCAAACGGG
rnacentral:rRNA from 1 species